rnacentral:rRNA from 1 species
UACGGGGGGGGCAAGCGUUGUUCGGAAUUACUGGGCGUAAAGGGCUCGUAGGUGGCCAACUAAGUCAGACAUGAAAUCCCUCGGCUUAACCGAGGAACUGCCUGUCAAACUGCAUGGCUUGAGACCAGGAGAGGUGAGUGGAAUUCCCAGUGUAGCGGUGAAAUGCGUAGAUAUUGGGAGGAACACCAGUGGCGAAGGCGGCUCACUGGACUGGUACUGACGCUGAGGCGCGAAAGCGUGGGGAGCAAACAGG